rnacentral:rRNA from 1 species
CACGGGGAGGGUCAUUAGAAACUGGGAAACUUGAAGUGCAGAAGAAGGAGAGUGGAAUUCCACGGUAGANAGUGAAAUGNGUAGAGAUGUGGAGGGAACACCAGUGGCGAAAGGAGACUUCUGGUCUGAAACUGAACGAUAGGCGAAACGUGGGGNGCGAACAGGAUUAGAUACCAUGGUAGUCCNCGCCGUAAACAAUGAAUGAUAAGUGUUAGAGGGUUUUCCGCCCUUUAAGUGAUGCAGCAAACGCAUUAGCACUCCGCCUGGAGAGUACGGUAGCAAGACUGAAACUCAAAGGAAUUGUCGGGGGCCCGCACAAGCGAUGGAGCAUGUGGUUUAAUUUGAAGCAACGCGAAGAACCUUACCAGGUCUNGACAUCNUCUGACAACCCUAGAGAUAGGGCUUCCCCUUCGGGGGCAGAGUGACAGGUGGUGCAUGGUUGUCGUCAGCACGGGUACUGAGAGGUGGGGUUAAGUCCCGCAACGAGCGCAACCCUGGAUCUUAUUGGCCAGCAUCCAG